UACGUAGGGUGCAAGCGUUGUCCGGAAUUAUUGGGCGUAAAGAGCUCGUAGGCGGUCUGUCGCGUCGGCUGUGAAAACCCGAGGCUCAACCUCGGGCCUGCAGUCGAUACGGGCAAACUAGAGUACUGCAGGGGAGACUGGAAUUCCUGGUGUAGCGGUGGAAUGCGCAGAUAUCAGGAGGAACACCGAUGGCGAAGGCAGGUCUCUGGGCAGUAACUGACGCUGAGGAGCGAAAGCGUGGGGAGCGAACAGG
rnacentral:rRNA from 1 species